rnacentral:rRNA from 1 species
AUGGGCGAUGUCCGGAUCAUGUCCAGGCGCAUGGUCCGCCCGAAAUCAAGCACCUUCCGGCCGCCGGAGCGUCAGCCGGAGACCAUCCACCUGACGCCGUGGGAUCUCCGGAUGUUGAUCGUGGACUACAACCAGAAGGGCGUCCUCCUGCCCAAGCCCCCCGCAGCCGCCGCCCAAGGAGUCGUGGACCGCCUCGCCUCGUCCUUGGCGCGCGCCCUGGGCCGCUUCUUCCCCCUCGCCGGCCGCCUCGCUGUCAACGACCACGGGGGCAGCGCCGGCCAAACCAUCUCGCUCCGCUGCAGCAACGAAGGCGCCGAGUUCGUCCACGCCGUGGCGCCUGGUGUCACCGUCGCGGACGUCACCGCCCCGCUAUGCGUCCCGAGGGUGGUCUGGUCCUUCUUCCCGCUCAACGGGGUGGUUGGCGCGGACGCCGCCGCGGGCUCCCGCCCGGUCCUGGCAGCGCAGGUCACCGAGCUCGACGACGGCGUCUUUGUUGCCAUGUCGGUCAACCACGGGGUGGCCGACGGGACAACCUUCUGGCACUUGUUCAACACUUGGUCGGAGAUCAGCCGGCGUAGUGUCAACGGCGACCGCGAAUGCGAGAUCUCCUCGCCGUUGCCGGUUUUCGACAGGUGCGUCGUCCCCAUCACUGUACCAUUUGGCAAGCUGGAGGACAUCGUGGGGCAGCGUCGCCGUGGUUAUGGCCAGCGGCCACCGGUGCAGGAAUGCUUCGUGCGUUUCUCCGGGGAGAGCGUGAGGAAUCUCGUGUCAAAGGCGAACGCGGAGAUGUCCGGCUCCGGCUCCGGCACCACCAUCUCCUCGCUGCAGGCCGUGCUCGCGCACCUGUGGCGCGCGGUGUGCCGCGCCUGGAGGCUGGCGCCUGAGGAGGAGACGCGGUACGUCCUCCAGGUCGGAUGCCGGGGCCGCGUGGACGGCGUCCCGGCGACCUACUCUGGCAAUGCGGCAGCGCUCGCCGCGUCCGAUUCAACCGCCGGCGAGAUCCUGGAGAAAGGGCUGGGCCGGGCGGCGUGGCUGCUGAACCGGGCCGUGGCGUCGUUCGACGGGGCGCGUGAGAGGGCGGAACUCGAGAAGUGGGCCCGGGAGCCAAGCUUCGCGAUGCCGCCGGAGUUCGUGCUGGGCGCCGGCGCUCGCCGGCUGCUGCUCACGGGGAGCUCGCCGCGGUUCGACGUGUUCGGCAACGACUUCGGGUGGGGCGCGCCGGUGGCGGUGCGGAGCGGCGCGGGGAACAAGAUGGGAGGGAAGGUGACGGUGUACGAGGGCGGGCGCGGAUGCGGCGCGGGGAGCAUUGCGCUGGAGGUGUGCCUCGCCCCGGAGGCGCUCGCCAGGCUCGUCGCCGACCAGGAGUUCAUGAGCGCCACCGUGCCGUGA